CCUACGGGUGGCAGCAGUGAGGAAUAUUGGUCAAUGGGCGGAAGCCUGAACCAGCCAAGUAGCGUGCGGGAAGAAGGCCCUACGGGUCGUAAACCGCUUUUGCACGGGGAUAACACCCUCCACUUGUGGAGUUCUGCAGGUACCGUGCGAAUAAGAUCCGGCUACUUCCGUGCCAGCAGCCGCGGUAAUACGGAGGGCCCGAGCGUUAUCCGGAUUCAUUGGGGUUAAAGGGAGCGCAGGCGGGAGUUCAAGUCAGCGGUAAAAUCGCGCGGCUCAACCGCGCCCCGCCGUUGAAACUGGUCGCCUUGAGUGCACGAGAGGUAGGCGGAAUGCGUGGUGUAGCGGUGAAAUGCAUAGAUAUGACGCAGAACUUCGAUUGCGAAGGCAGCUUGCUGGCGCGCAACUGACGCUGAUGCUCGAAAGCGUGGGUAUCGAACAGGAUUAGAUACCCUGGUAGUC
rnacentral:rRNA from 1 species